UGUUUGGCUCACUCGUUGAGUUUCAUUGGUGUUUCCUGUGGAGCUUAAUUUUGGUCUUUGGAUAUGGUGUUUGAUCCUAGUUUCUAUUCCGUAUAUAUAUUCUUUUAUGUAAAGCUUGCGUGCCC